GUGAAUCAUCAAAUCUUUGAACGCAAAUUGCACUCUCCUCGGAGAGUAUGCCUGUUUGAGGGUCAGCCUAUAAAAAUCGACAGCGUUGCUUUUUCGCGGUUGCGUUCGUCGGAAAUUGGGUCAUCUUAAAUCCUUUUGAUUUAAUCGACUGAUUAUUUUCUUUUGGUUCCAUGAACGUUUCUUAGAUCUAUUUUUUUACACGCUUACGUUAUCGAUUUUGACUAGUCGUGACCUUCAUAU
rnacentral:misc_RNA from 1 species